rnacentral:rRNA from 1 species
GAUGAACGCUGGCGGCGUGCCUAAUACAUGCAAGUCGAGCGAACGGACGAGGAGCUUGCUUCUCUGAUGUUAGCGGCGGACGGGUGAGUAACACGUGGAUCACCUACCUAUAAGACUGGGAUAACUUCGGGAAACCGGAGCUAAUACCGGAUGAUCUUUUGAACCGCAUGGUUCAAAAGUGAAAGACGGUCUUGCUGUCACUUAUCGAUGGAUCUGCGCUGCAUUAGCUAGUUGGUACGGUAACGGCUUACCAAGGCAACGAUGCAUAGCCGACGUGAGGGGGGGAUCGGCCACACGGGAGCGGAGACGCGGUCAAGACGCCUACGGGAGGGAGCAGUAGGGAAUCUUACGCAAUGGGCGAAAGCCUGACGGAGCAACGGCGCGCGAGUGAUGAAGGUCUUCGGAUCGUAAAACUCUGUUAUUAGGGAAGAACAUAUGUGUAAGGAACUGUGCACAUCUUGACGGUACCUAAUCAGAAAGCCACGGCUAACUACGUG